rnacentral:lncRNA from 1 species
AGUACAAGUUGCUGAUAUUGGAUUUAUGGGGUGCAUGACUAGGAAAGAUGGUAAAGUUGUUGAAGGAGCAGACGUGUUUCUGGGAGGAAAAAUUGGAAGUGACUCACAUUUGGGAGAUAUUUAUAAGAAGGGUGUCCCUUGUGAUGACCUGGUUCCUUUGGUCGUGGACCUUUUGAUAAACCGGUUUGGGGCGGUUCGACGGGAAACUGAAGAGGCUGAAGAUUAGUUCAGGUGUAACACGUUGGAAUUUGUAAACAUAAAGGAAACCUCUUUUUCAUACACUGUAAAGAGGCAAAACUUCAUUGCUACACCGAAAUGGCACUGCAACUAGGUGUAUCUGUUUUGGUCUAUUACAUUUGUACUUAUUUCUUACAAGGUAUUACUUAUUGAACAUGUAUUCCAUCUUCAUAUAAUUAUGAUCACUUGAAUUUGAAAGCUAACAAUUUUUAUGUUAAUAAUAUGUUAAGGAUUUAGUAUAUUAAAUCUUCUAACAAUGACAAGUUUGAGUAAAAAGAUUCACAUACUCAAUUCUUGAGUCUUAAGAGCUUGUUUGGUACAGAUUUUAAAUCAAUUAAAAUCAAUUUUUUGAUCAUUAUUUGAUUAUUCUAAUCGUCAUUUUUGAAUUCUUCUCUCACAGGUAAAACCCAUUUUAUCUCCAACGGUCAAAAAAUCAAUUAUCAAAAUCCUUCACAAAUAAGCACUUAUUAGACUCAAGAUUCUCUUGAUAACAAUAUUAGCGCCCAAAAAAUUGCUCAAAUCCCAUGACGGAAAUUCUUUUACUAAUAAUUUGCAUGCAUUUACUUUGCUCUACUCAUAUGUGUAUUUAUUAGUACGUGUAUAAGCAAUCAAUGUAGCCAAAAUUAGACGUGGUUCAACCAAAAUUUAGUAAGUAGAAUCGUUGGGUCCAAAUUUAGUUAGAGAACAGUUCGGGUUCCGUUCCAUUUGGUUCUCGAGUUUCGUACAAUAAUUAAUUUUUUUUUAAUAUUUACAACAACGCUACAUUAAUUUAACUAAUGACAUAUUCAAUUUUAACUCUUUCAAAAUAAUUUAGUCCAAUCCCGUGAUAUCUUUUGAGCCUCUCUUAGUUGAGUUCUUCAUAGAUUUGAUUGUUAAAAUCACAGGAAGAAGAAGAUAGCGAUCUCACAAUAAUGAAGAGAAGCACAACUGAGUUUUCAAUUCGAUUUCUCCGUAUCGACAAAAAACAUCACUAUGUAAAAAUAAGAUAUUUGGGUUAAACUUAGUUCAAUUUGAUUAAGUUAGGGCCUAGUUUGAAAAUUAAAAAUAAGAAAAACAUAUUUUGGAUUUGGGCUAAACUAAUUAGUUAACAAAUUUAGUUAAAAAUAAUUUGAAUUAUUUAAGAAAAAAUUAGGGAGAUUUGAUUUUUUUUCUUGGUCUAGAAUCAAAAACUAAAUCAAAUCCGUCGGUUUUCGAUUCAGAUAUCCGUUGGGUAUUUAAUUUAAGAAAAAUAGCUCGAUUCAUGUCUAGUUUGGUUCAGGUCUAGUCGAUCGAUUCAAUUUGAAAGUUUUUUCUAGCUUGAGCACGAGAUGUAGAGAGAAAAUAUAAGUGUAAGACUACUAACUAAAAAGAAUGAGAGAUAAUGUAACUUAAGUAAUAAGUGAGACACUUAUAUUUAUAAGGAUCAAUUCAUUUGUACAGAAGAAAGUUUCAUAAAAGAUUGCCAGAAUAUUCUCAUACUAUUGGGCCCAAUGUGAAAAAAAUUGCCAAAAAAACCCCAUCCAUCCCCCUAUAUAUGUGUUCUGGCAGGCUUUGUGACGAAGCCUACUGUACAUCAAGCAAAAUUGUAUUUGUAAUAGUUCAUAAUGUGUUUUGAUUUGGUGAUAAUCUAAUAGGCCGUGGUGGCUGUUUGCGGUGGUGUUGAGUAGGUAUUGGUGGGGGAGGUAGGUUGUGGGUGGGUUUUCGGUAGAUUAGGAUUUGGUCUAGGGUGGGGUUGGGAAAGAAGAUGAAUUUGUCUUUCAUUUUAUUUUCUUGGUUUUUUUUUAAUUUAAUUAUACUAAUUGUCAUACGUUAAAGAAAUGUAAAGUUAUCAUUUUGUUAGUUUAAAAUUGGUUAAAUUAUGGUCAGAUUAUUGACUUCUGAAUUUUGCUACACAUAAGUAAGUGUUUGGUAUCGCGACUACGACAAAUAAAAUGUUAAGAUAAAAGUCACAACAAGUUGAAACAUCUAAAAUCGGCACAAUAUUUAGUUACUGUAAAUAAUUCCAUUGUUUUAAACAAUUUGACAUUCGUUACACUACUUGACACGUAAUUUCAUUAUUAAUUUAAAAGUUAAAAGGGCCUUUUCAUAUAUAAACACUUCUAUAUAAUACAAUUUCUAUUUGUUGCAUGCAUUUUAAGUGCAACGAUGGUUAAUUAAUAAUUGAAUUUGUAUCCUCAAUUUUUUCAUCACAUUCUCAUCUUCUACUUUUCAUUUUUCAGCAUGUUGGUUAAUUGGUUAUUGUACCUGUAUCCCCAAUUUUUUUGCCACAUUCUCAUCUUCAAUUUUUCAUUAAUCAACAAGCCUGGUCUCUCAUGAAGUUUCUAUUAAAAAAUCCAUUGUUUAACAAAAUAUUUCUAUCUCGCUUCAAAGCAUGCAAACAGAAUAUGUUGAAAUAAAUCGUUAGAGAUAAGAUAUGCUAAUUGCUUGAAAGUUAGUAAUAAGAAUACAAUGCAAAAAAAGAAAAAAGAAAAAAAAGGGGGAUGAGAAAAUAAAUGUGAUAAUAAACAAAAGUUAACGACCUUUAUUAUAAUUAAGAUACUAUACAAGAAACAAAAAUUGUGAUGUCAAUAUAAUUAUCAUGUUUAUGUAUUCGAAAGAGGUGACUAACAAUAGGCUUGAAAUUUCUUCAUAUCGAAGUAAGUGUCUAUUUGACAGCAAUUUUCUCACAAUUAUAAAGAAAAAUCUGAUCAUUAUAUAUAGUCAGUGGGCCCCACGUCUAGAAAGAAAUUGGCAAAAAAUUUGAUCAAAACUGGCAAUCGUCUUUCAUUAUAAAUUGAAAUGUUAAAAAUGUCCUCACUAAUGGCGUUGAGUGUCAAAAAUUUAGGGAUACCAGGGACUUUUCGUUAAAAUUUUUAAUUGACAAGAUAGGUGUAGACCAAAAUGGCUACUACUCUGUGGGGGCUCAUUUCCUGUAUAUAAUGAUUGGAUUUUCCUUACAAGCAGACGAAAAUCGCUGUCAAACAGGCGCUAAUGCGUGUUAGAAAACAUAAAUCUCAAAUGGUACUCCACUUCGAUGGACACUAUGCGAAAAUGACCCGACCUGUGCCCAAAAUUGGGUUAUGCCAUGAUUAAAGAGAAUCCAGAAAUGUCGAUGAAAAUAAAAGCAUGCAUACAAUAUUUUGAGUAAACCAGGUCCGGCCGGCUGUGCACACCAAAAUACAAAAACCUCGCAUCAAAUUGAAAACUUGUAGUGACGUAGCCACAGAUUCAAUGACGGUGAAAUCAAUAGAUAAAUCUAUAAAAGAAAAUUAUAAUCUUUCAAUCCGUUUCCAUUUUUAUCGAUCAAUCAAUUCAUUUCGAGUAUAAAAAAAUGGAGCUCAGGCCUGGUCUUUCAGCUUUAGUCACUGGCGGAGCAUCAGGCAUCGGCAAGGCGCUUGUUCUAGCCCUUGCAAGCAAAGGAAUUUUCAUUACAAUAAUCGAUCUUUCUGAUAAAGGAAACCAAGUUGCGUCACUUGCCGGAAAUGAAAUUUCCAAGUUACAUUCUGAACUGGGAUUUCCGCCGGCUAUGUUCAUCAAAACUGAUGUCACUAACACAAGUGAGUAGUAACAUCUAAAAUUCGACUGGUCGCUUGAGUCAAAUUUUGCGAUUGAAUAAUAUAUUAUUAUAGUAGUGCAUGAUUUUAUCCUGAAUAUUCACAAAUUGGACUAUUUAUUAUAUUGAUUGGGGAGAUUCUGAAUAUGUUUGGUGUGAUUGUGGGGUUAGAUGAGCUUUCUGCGGCUUUCAAGAAGCAUUUUGAGACGUAUGGAGGAUUGGAUAUCUGUAUUAACAAUGCUGGGAUUGGGAAUCCGGUUCCAUUUGAUAAGGAUGAUUCUAAAUCUUGGAGACUCACCGUUAGUAUCAAUCUUAUUGCAGUUAUUGAUUGCACCCGUCUCGCUGUAAGUUUCUAAUCUGCCAAUUGAUUGAAACCGGAUUUUUUUAUGUUAUUAACUAGGUUGAAUUUGAGAUUGAUUACACCUUUUUAAAUUAAAUGAUUCUUGGAGCUUUGAAUGUUUAAAGUUUUCUAUUAUUCACGCUCAAGUUUAUAAUUUUGGAUGAUUGAUGAAUUAAGAGGGCAUUGGAGAGUUGCACCUGUAAACCAGAUGUGGAGAGAGUUUUUGUUGGUCUGCACGCACAAGAAGUGUCUUUCUCUGGAAAUUUUUUCAUGUUCAUGGGUCUUCCAAUUUGGUGACGCAGCAUAUUAAUCUUGAUUUGUUUGCAGAUUCAAACCAUGCAACUGGCUAAAAAGCCUGGUGUAAUCAUUAAUGUUGGCUCUGCAUCAGGGCUCUACCCAAUGUAUGCUGAUCCUAUAUACUCUGCCUCUAAAGGUUUGUAUUUUCUCUAUUAUACAUUUUUUUUCAGUUCUUCCCAAAUAUAAUUGAUCUAAAUUAUGUAUCCGGUCUGAUGAUGAUAAGAAAUUUCACAGGGGGCGUGGUUAUGUUCACCAGAUCCCUCACUCUUUACAAGCGCCAACGGAUCCGUAUCAAUGUGCUUUGCCCUGAGGUAAGCUCUAUCGUUUAAAUUUUUCUAAUGGCACAUCUGCAAUGUACAACAAUAACUGGGCUGAGAUAUUAGAUGCCUCAUUAAUGUUUGAGGUUGGACAUGAACCAUGGUGUUGGUGGUUCAAAUCCCUCCUUGCCCACAACUGGCCCAAAAGGGAAGUACCUUGUUACGUGAAAAGUUUUAGAUUUCUGAUUAAAAUUUCUUAGAGAUGAUGUUAGUGAGCUGCAUGCAGUUGUAUAACUCAUUAUUAAUGUAGCUUUUCAGCAGUGGUGACUAAAAUACUAAUUAAGAUUACUAAUUUUUUCUAUAAAAAAUACUUAUUAACCAUCUUCUGCCUGCAGUUUGUGCAAACUGAUUUGGCCGCAAAAUUGGAUCCUAAAAUCAUUGAUCUAAUGGGAGGCUUCUUGCCAAUGGAAAUGGUAGUGAAAGGUAAGUACUAUUGCAAUUAUUUUUGGAACUUCAUUGAAAUAUGGAUGUGUAUGUAAUCCCCAUUCCCCUCAUACAUGCCAAGGAAUCUACUGUUCAUCAUAACAUUUAGGAAAUUAAUUGAAGAAUUAAUCUGUCAUUAUCUUUUAUUCUUUUGUGUUAUUGCAUUGCAACCUCUCUUCUAGCUGUGAGUUUCUAAUUAUGAAAUGUGUAGGUGCUUUUGAGCUUAUAAGUGAUGAGACUAAAGCUGGAUCUUGCUUGUGGAUAUCUAAGCGAAGGGGCUUGGAGUAUUGGCCAACUCCUGCAGAAGAAGCAAAAUAUCGUGUGCGCCCUUUGACACAAAGGAGAAAGUCUUCAUUGAUGUUUCCAUUUAGUAUUCAAAUACCCCCAAGUUUUGAGAAGAUGUAAGAAAACAUAUUUUCAGUUACCAGCAUUAAAAUAAGAGUGGAAGUAGUCUCUGUCAUCUUCUUAUGUUUAUUCCUUGGCCUUGAAAUACAACCAUUUUGUGGGGACAAGGAGGCAUUGUUCACUUAUUAUGAAUUAUACAAUGAUCUAAUGAAAGAGUUGAAAAUUUUGAUAUUUAUAUGUUACAGUAAUUAUAUGCAAGAAACAGAGUACUAAAAUCCACACAGGACAAGCUUAUUUAAUUUGUUUGUGGAAAAAUUUUUCAUCGAGGGAACCAAGCAACUCGGUGCAAGUACUUCCUCUUUCAUUAUGGUAGUAUUAUGAUGAUUACAUUUUUGCUCAUUUUUCUUACAAAAUUUGUUGAGUGGAUUUCUUGCACCCACAUUGAACUUUUUUUUUUUUAAUGAUUUGUCACCAUGUUAAAAGUGACCAAACUAGAACAGAAUGUUUUCCAUGUAUGUUGCAGACGUAUUCUUGAAAAAUGCAUUUUAGAUUUUUGGUUUGUUUCUUACCAUGCUGAAAGAACAUUUUUCUGAACUACUUGGCAGCUUUUUUGGGAUCUUUGUGGCUUUAGUGUAAAAUUUACUUCGUUAAGAUGCUCUUGAAUCUACUCAUGUUUUACGGUAUUUAAGCAUGUGGCCACAAUUUUUUAUAAAUCUCGGUUGCAAUUAUUUCCCUCCUUCCUGUUAUUUUUCCUCUUAUCUGAUCUUUUAAAAUUAAUCCAGGUAUCCUUAAUGCACUAUUUCAUUUAUUGAUUAUUUAUUGAUGAGUCUUUUUGAUCUUGUUCUCUAGAGUUGUCAACACAUUGAAUCACAAUUUCCGUAGUGCUACCAGUGUAGUACGUGCUCCGUUGAGAUUCCCCCUCAAACCGGAUCAUGUGCUUUUGAAAGUCAUUUAUGCCGGUGUUAAUGCUAGUGAUGUAAGUUUGUUACUCAUAAUUUAUUUUUUGUCUGUAAGUUUUAUGUGAAUGAAAUAGAUGUCCUAAAGUUUGGAAUCCUAUAUCUUGAAAAAAAGAAAAGAAAAGAAAAGAAAUAACAAGCCUUACCCUAUAUGUGUAACACAUGUACAUCGUAGAUUGUAGAAUAAAUCUAGGAACAUUUAGAUUUAUGGAUCUUCCAAUGCAACUUCACUUUGCUACUUGCAUAUUUAAUUAUUUUGUUGGUGCUGGCUGCCUCUAUCUGGUUAAACCUAACUAGGUUAAGGAAUAUUAUAUGAAAAAAACUAUCCUGGUGUACAUAUAUAUAAAGAUAAGGGACCUCUGUGUAGAAUUGACAUGUGGACUAACACAAAGCAUUUUGUAACAGGUGAAUUUUAGCUCAGGACGGUAUUUUAGCGGAGACAAAAACGAGAUCGAAUCUCGUCUUCCAUUUGAUGCUGGCUUUGAGGUAAGGGAAAAAAUAACUCAAGUUUUAGCAUAACUUGAGAAGUAAAUUGGUGUAUUUAAACAAAUUUUAUACUAUGAUUUUGCAAUCAGCCCUGAUCCUCCAAGACACUGCCAGUAAUUACUCAUGCUCCUUUCCACUCUUAUUGCUUUAAUUGCAUUGAUGUUGACAUACGUUGUUAGGAUAUAUAGAAUGCUAAAUGUCCUACUUUUAUUUAAAUUUUAUAGUUGCUCCUGCUCUUUUGAAAUUAAUGUCUUGCUUUAUAGUAUGGACUGUUUUAAACUCUUGUCUACUUCCUAAAGUAGGGCCUUUUUACCUUUUCCCUUCUUCCUAAAUGAAACAAUGAACUGCGAAUUUGUAGUUACUCAAUACCAUUUCAACCUCGUUACUAGUUUCAUUCGAAUUUGUAGUUACUCAAUACCAUUUUGGCAUUUUGUUUGCAAAAGUUUUGCAUCACGAACUGUAAUAUGUGUUACUCCCAAAUGACAGGUUUAAUCUAGGGGAGAGACUGGGUUUUUUUAUUUUUUUUAUUUUUUGGGGGUGGGGGGGUUCGAACUCUAAUAUAUUAAGCAACUAUCUUAUUCUUAGAAGAAUUUUUCCUGCCAUUUACUUGUUCAACACUUAUUUGAUUCUUCUUUAGAAAACUUCACUUUAUAAAUGAAUCAAUAAAAAUGAAGUUGCAGAAACUAAAGAGAUGGUAAGAGACGCCAGAUUUACGGAGGUUCAACUCUUGAGUCUUCAUUCAUUUCUAGAAGGCUCCCUUUUGGUAUUUCUUUAGUUUAACAACAACUAUCUCCCGUUUCAUUUCCUUGAAUCAAAUACCAACUUACAGCAGUACCAUAACAACAACUUGAAACUUAAGAAGAAGCAAGCUUAGAUUUUCCGAGUAAUGUGUGAAUAAUAGAGCAAAAAAAAAAAAAAAAAUCUUUUCAGAUUAUACUCCAGAGGGGUUUUGAUGUAGGACAAAGAAGAGGAUAGCAAGAAAGGGAGGAAGAACAAGAGAGGAGGAGGAAAGAAACCGGAGAAGAAGCAGAAAUUCAGGGGGAAAGGAGAGGAAGGAGACGCCACAACCAAUCUCAAUAAUUCAUAUUCAGCCAAACUAAUGAAGUUACAUAGGAAAUUAGGUUUAAAUAGUAAAGUGAAAAUCCUAACUAGAAUGGGUUUGAGCCGAUACAAGCCCAAUUACAUAAAUAAGAAUCCAAAUUAAAAUAAAGUCCAACUAAAAAUAAAUAAAAUAGAUUAUGUUCUCAUAAACUCUCUCGGGGUGGGAGAAAAAUUCGACUCUGUCAAGUUGAUAGAUCACUGUAGACUGCAAUCAAUUUGAAACUCCAAAUGCUUCAAGUCAAGUCACGGGGGACGAUCUUUCUGACAAUCCAAGUACCGAAAUUCCAUGGUUGAUUGUAUUGAAAACUGUAGCUUAUUUCCAAAAAUAUGAUCUGGCCAAGGGGGCAGUCUUUCCUUCUAAUCAAGUAUUGAUAUUGGACUUCAAAUAACCAAUACUCAUGCACCUCAUCUUCAAGAUUUUCACAUGAUUGUACAUAAUGAGGAGCAUAAGAAGCACGUCGAUCUACCCAACAAAUAAGGAAGUACUGAAUCUUGCCAUCAUUGGUCAAUACAAUACGUUCAUCUAAAAUAACAUCAAUUUUAUCUUUGUAUGCUGUGACAGAUGGUACUGAAGUAGACAUAUCAAAAAACUGAGUGUACGAAUUCCCAUAUGGAGGUAGAAAAUGAUCAUUAAAGGGGUAAAAAUAGUUUUUGUAAUCAACGAAGUCUUGAACAGUUAAAAUAGUGUGGUGGCCAAAAUGUGAUAAAAAAUCAACGACACAUAUAUUUGAACCAACAUGCUUUAAAAUUUUAUAAGGACUAGCACUACGGGCUUGCAGUAUAACAUAAUCCCCAAUGUUAAAUUCAAAAUAUUGUUUAUGCCAAUUAGCUCAAGGUUUAUAAUAUGCAUUACUUGCAUCAAGUUGUUUAUUGAUCUCAGUAUUUAAGUCAUGAAGAUGAUGUACAAAUGUUUCAGCUGACAACGACACACUAGCAUAAGGGGACAUGGGAAUAAGAUUUGAUGGCCACCUAGACUUAUAACUAUGAAUAACUUCAAAUAGAUUUAGACUUAGAGACCGAUUUACAGAAUUGUUAUAUACAAUUUGAACAAUUGGAAGGAUCAAAUUCCAAUUUCCCAGAGUUUCCUUGCAAAGAGCAUGAUUACACAAACCAUCAAUACCUUUGGGUGGAAUAAGAGUAGGACACAGAACAUUUGACUGAGAGAUAUCGGGUACAAUACCUAGACUCAUAGGAAAAGUCCGUAUACUAUUUAAGGGGGGUGUCCUCACUAUCAUCCAAGUCAUCAAAUUCUUCAAGUUUAGAUUCAUAGAUUUGAUUUUUUAAUCGCUCAUCUUUCAUAUUCUUUUGUUCUUCAAUGAAUAAAGCUCGAUUAGAACACUCAGAAGAGAUGUAGCCAAAGUCCUUAUAGUUGAAGCACUGCAAAUAAGAAGAAGCCAUUGAAAUUUUAAAAUCUUGACCUUUAUUGUCCAACAGAGGAGGAGCAUUAGAUGGGGGAGGACCUAGAAGGGACUUAACAGGAGAAGGUGGUGUUGAUGAGACGAAAGGGGGAAUGUGAUGCAGCACCAACGGGACAAUUAAUUGAGAAAUAGAACAGAUCUAUAGGAAGAGGGAAUUAAAGAGAAGAAUGGGGAAUUGGGGGGGGGGGAGGAAGAAGAAGAAUUUAACAAAAGAGGGUAGAAUAAGGGGAGGGAUGCGUCAUAAGCCACCAAAAUAAUUAUUCAUUCAUCAUUAACUGAAAAUUACAAUGCAAAAUAGGUUUAAAUAGUAAAGCAACCCUAACGAGCUUGGGCUCGAGCCCAUACAAGUCCAAAUUUAAAUAAUAGUCCAAGAAAAUAAAUAAAGCUUAAAUAAAAUAAGUAAAUGUCGUCCGAUGUCCUCAUCGACUCUCCCGGGGUGGGAGAAAAACUCGACCCUGUCGAAUGAUAGAUAAUAUAGGCUGUAGUCAAUCUGAUACUCCAAAUGCUUCAAGUCAAGCUACGGGGGACGAUCUUUCUGACGAAUCAAGUAACGAAAUUCCAUAAUUGAUAGUACUGAAAACUAUAGCUUAUUCCUAAGAAUAUGAUCUGACCAAGGGGGGCGAUCUUUUCCUCUAACCAAGUACUGAUACUGGACUUCAAAUAACCAAUACUCAUGCAUCUCAUCUUCAAAAUUUUCACAUGAUUGUACAUAAUGAGGAGCAUAAGAAGUACGUCGAUCUACCCAACAAACAAGGAAGUACUGAAUUUUACCAUCAUUGGUCAAUACAAUACGUUCAUCUAAAAUAACAUCAAUUUUAUUUUUGUGUGCUGUGAUAGAUGGUAUUAAAGUAGAAAUAUCAAUAUAGUCGAAUUGGGGGUCCACAAAGUUAGGUAGAAAUGGAUCAUCAAAGGAAGUAAUACAGUGUUUGUAAGUAAUGAAGUCCUCAAUAUUUAAAGCAGAGUGGUAGCCAAAAUGUGAUGAAAGGGCAAUGACAUGUGCAUUUGAACCAACAUGCUUUAAAAUUUUUAAAGAACCAGUAAUACAAGCUUGCAAUAUUACAUAAUUCCCAAUAUUAAAUUCAAAAUAUCGUUUAUGUGAAUCAGCUUGAAGUUUAUAUAAUGCAUUACUUGCAUCAUGUUGUUUAUUGAUCUCAAUAUGCAAGUCAUGAAGAUGAUAUACAAAUGUUUCAGCUGACAACGACACACUAGCAUGCGGGGACAUGGGAAUAAGAUCUAACGGUCGUUUAGACUUAUAACUAUGAACAACUUCAAAUGGAUUUAGAACUAGAGACCGAUUUAUAGAAUUGUUAUUUGCGAUGUGAACAGUUGGGGGGAUCGAGUCCCAAUUCCCAAGAUUUUUUUGGACUAGAGACUGUAAUAAAUUGCCAAGACUUCGGUUAGCAAUUUCGUUUUGACCAUCAGUUUAAGGUGGGUCAGUAGUGGAGAAUUUCGAUUUAGUGCUAAGAACAGGCGACUGGGUUCUCCAAGAGUGACUAGUGAAAUCAUCAAACUCUUUGAGUUGGGUAAGGGUAUGACAUAUAACAUGUGAUCGAGAGUUGUCGAAAACAAGGGGUAUAGUUUCUAAAGUCUCGGGAAGGGUCGGGAUUCCAAUUAAGGAAGUGUCCUCAAUAUCGUCCAAGUCAUCAAAAUCUUCAAGUUUAUACUCAUAGAUUAGAUCUUCUAACGACUCUUUUAUUAUAUCCUUUCGUUCUUCUAUGACUAAGGCUCGGUUAGGACAUUUGGAAGAAAUGUGGCCAAAGUCCUUACAGUUGAUGCAUAGCAGGUGAGAAGAAGUCCCUGGAGUUUCAAAAAUUUUACACUUAUUUUCCAAGAUUUGAGGAACAUUAGACGGGGAAAGUCCUAGAAGAGACUUAACAGGUGGAGGUGGAGCCAAUGAGACGGAAGAAUGGUUGUCAAUACGCCUUCUAUAAGGAGAAGGGGGCCUUGGGCUAUCACGACCUUUACACUUAUUUUUCCAAAUGGGAGGAGCACUAGACGGGGGAGGUUCUUGAAAGGACUUAACAAGAGGAAGUGGAGCCAAUGAAACCGAAGGAUGAUUGUCGUUACGCUUUCUACAUGAAGAAGAUGACUUUGGACUAUCACGACCUUUACACUUGUUUUUCCAAAGGGAAGGAACACUAGAUUGGGAAGGCUCUAUGAUAUACUUAUGAUGAGAUGACGCUAAUGAGAUGGGUGAACGAUGGUGAUCAUGCUUUUCAUAUGCAGUACUAAUAAGUAACUAGUAGUCCCGAGCUGAAGAGUAAGUUUGAUCAAGAGUAGUGAUGCCUCGAAAGAAAAGCUCACGCCUAAGUUCAUCUCGUAGAUCUUGUAUAAACCUACUUAAAGUCAGGGCCUCAUCUUCAACGACAUGACGUUUCACUCGAAAUUCCUCAAAUUGAGCAAUGUACUCAGUUACUAGCCGAUUCUCUUGUGUAAGGGUGUUCCAUUGGGUAAAAAUUCCAUGAUCUAAGCAACCAUCGAAAGUAGGAGUAUCCAAGUCAAUGUCUCUAAAGAAACGCUCCUUACGACGAGGAAGAGAAUGAGUACCAUGAUGACCAUGGCCUUGUUCUCGCUCACGAACUUGAUCCCUAUUCCUAUGAUCACGUCGAAAAUAUUCUUGAUCACCUUGUUCACGAUGAUAUUGUCUAUUAUGAGACGCUUCAGAAUUAGUGUCAGUCAAACGAGGGAUUCGCUUAAAAUUGCUCAACUUAGCAGCUAGGGUCUUUCUUUCCUCACGAGUAGCAGUUAUAUCUGAUUGGACAAUCGAUAGGCUAGUGGCAAGUUGCACUAAUUUUUAGUGAGUGCAUCAAAUUGGGAUGGAUCCAUGGUCAAUGUAUUGGAAAUAGAGACGACAAGACGACCACUACGCAACUAUAUGCAAUGUAAUACCAGCGAAAUGAUGUGCUAUGAUGAGAUCAGUGAACUAUACGUGCAAGCAAUGGAAAAUAACUUGUACCAAUUUUUUUUUAUUUAAUUUUAAAUAUUCGGAUUAAUUAAAUCCAAAACAAGCUAAUACUGCUGGUACAUGUAAAAUGGCAAAGUAAGGGUCAACACACUAGUCAAAUUCUCCAAUCAAUUUAAGUGGGGAACAAUGGAAGUCAAUUCGGUCACUGGUGUCAAUUCGAUUAAUGGUUUCGAUCAAGUAGGGUUUAAGGCUAAAAUUAUCACGAUAAAAGCAGCUCAAGAUUUUAAUUGAUGCAAUUUAAAAAUGAAGUAGUAGUAUAAACCAAUACAAAAUAGAGAUCAAGGACUCUUUGUUGUUUAGUUUUGAUUAUUUGUAUGUUGAUUGAUCUGAAUUGCCGACUUAUGAGCCCCAACUAUGCUUCUGUUCUUCCCUUCGUGUCCAAUGGUUUUAGCCCUUGUUGACUGUAACUUGUGCUAGUUCUGGUGCGAACGUAAAACUGUGUGUGGUGACUAUGACUUUUAGAUUGUUGAGAUGGACGAGGAAAUAUAUGAGUGUGGUAAUUGUGGUGGAAGUGUAUGAUCUUGGGUUGAUGGUGGUGGCCUAUGGCGAUGAAGCGGUAGUGCUCUGGAUGCCUGAGUACAGUAGAUAAUGAAGUGAUGGCGUGAUGGUGAUUAGAGGCGGCAGCGGCAAGAGAGUGGUUGUGAGAGAGGAAUCGGGUGAAACUGUGGGCUAUUUGAUGUUAAUGGAUUGGUUAUAAUCGGGGUUGGUUGGAUAUUUGGGACUGGACCAGAUGGGAAGGGGUUUGGAUCUUGUUGUAGAGAUGGGCCAGCUGGGGCUAGUGUUUGGGGAGUGGGCCUGGGUCGUAGAGAGUAGGCUGGGCUAGUUGGGCUAAAUGGGCUUGAAUGCUAGAGUUUGGGAUUUGUGGAACAACACCACAAUUUUUUUUAUUUAUGAGCAGUAGCAGCAAGAAAAAAAGACGAUUUUUUUUUUGGGCGCGAACAGUACCAGUGAACAGUAUAUAUAUAUAUAUAUUUUUUUUUAAAGAAAUUGACCAAAUACUAAACUGAAAUUCUUGGUGAACAGUACCCGUGAUGAACAGUAACUUUUUUUUUUAUUUGGGAACAACUAUGAAGAAGCUGAAAAAAUAAUACUUGGCUGCUCAUGCUAAAAGUUUAUUUGUUUGUGUUGUUCCACAAGUUCUUGGGAAAUAAAUAUGAAGAGAUUUUUGGAUUGGAGAUGAGAAAUUACCCAAGUUUAGGCUCUGAUACCAAAUUUGAUGCAACACCAACGGGACAAUUAAUUGAGAAAUAGAACAGAUCUAUAGAGAGAGAGAAUUAAAAAGAAGAAUGGGGAAUUAAAGGGGGGGAAGAAGAAGAAUUUAACAGAAGAGGGUAGAAUAAGGGGAGGGAUGCGCCAUAAGCCACAAAAAUAAUUAUUCAUUCAUCAUCAACUGAAAAUUACAAUGCAAAAGUAGGUUUAAAUAAUAAAGCAAUCCUAACGAGCUUGUGCCCGAGCCCAUACAAGUCCAAAUUUAAAUAAUAGUCCAAGAAAAUAAAUAAAAUUUAAAUAAAAUAAGUAAACGUCGUUCGAUGUCCUCAUCAGAAUGUCACUACGCCUUCGAUACGAAGAAGAAGGUCUUGGGAUAUAUGACCUGUACUAUGAUAGACUUAUGAUGAGGUGGUGCUGAUGAGAUGGGUGAACGAUGGUUACUACGCUUUUCAUAUGGGGCACUAAUAAGUAACUCGUAGUCCCGAGCUAAAGAGUAAGCGUGAUCAAGAGUAGUCACACCUCGAAAGAAGAGCUCACGCCUAAGUUCAUCUAUUAGACCUUGUAUAAACCUAUUCAAAGUUAAGGCUUCAUCCUCAAUGACAUGACGCUUUAUUCGAAACUUCUCAAAUUGAGCAAUAUACUCAGUCAUUAACUGAUUCCCUUGUUUAAGGGCAUUCCAUUGAGUAAGAACUUCAAAAUCUAAGCAACCAUAGUGUCUCUAAAAGAACUCUCCUUAUGAUCGUAUUGAAAAUAUUUUCGAUCACCUUGUCGACGACAAUAUUACCUAUCGUGGCUUUAGAGUUAUUAAUAUCAAUCGAAUAAGGGAUUUGCUUAAAAUUGUUCAGAUUAGCAACUACAUCUCUACUCUUUUCACGAGUAGCAGCCAUUUCAAUUUGGAAAGCUGCUAAUUGAGUUUGCAAGUGUUGCUGGCUAGUGACAAGUUGAACUAAUUGUCUAGUGAGUGCCUCAAACUGUAAAGAGUCCAUGUCUAGGUAUCGAAACGAGGAGUGACAAGACGACCAGUCGACCACUAUGCGUGCACUAUACUAGCAACGAAAUGACGUGCCAUGGAGAGAUCAAUGAACAAUAAGUGUAAGCAAUGAAAAGUAACGACUUGAGCUUUUUUUUUUUUUAAAUUAAAAUUUGGGGUUAUGUUAAUCCAAAUGUAACAAGCUAAUAAUGCUAAUUCGAAUAAAAUAAAAAGCAAGGAUACAUAUGGCGAAUCAAAAUCUUUAACCUCGAGGGGUAAGCAAGGUAAUGUUGGAAAUUAUUCAUUCAACGAUUCCAAUCAAGUAGUGUAAAGAUAAAAUUUAUGACGUAACAGUAGCACAAAGAUUUUAAUUGAUGGAAUUUUUAAAAAUGAAGGAGUAGUAUAAACCAAUAAUAAAAAAGGUUCAAGGACUCCUCAUUAUUUGGUUAUGAUUAUCUGUAUGCCGAUUGAUCUGAAUUGCCGACUUAUGAGCCCCAACUAUGCUUCUGUUCUUCCCUUCGUGUCCAAUGGUUUUAGCCCCUGUUGAUUAUAACUUGUGUUGGUUCUGGCCUGGACGUAAAACUGAGUGUAGUGACUGUGGCUUUUAGAUUGUUGAGAUGGACGAGGAAAUAUAUGUGUAGGAAAACAAACUAGUCAAUUAGAGAAGUAAUUAUUUUCCUAUGGUUUGAAUAUUAGGAGUUAGUUUCCUAAUUUUUCUAGCUGAUUUUUUGUAUACCAUAGAUAGAUAGGGUAAUUUCUAUUUUCUAGGAGCUGAUUAAGGAUCUGAUUUUCAGAUCUUUAUGUAUAUAUAUGUAUUCAUUCUGAUCAAUAAUACAUAUGAAAAUAUUCCCAAAUCCUCACUGCUUCAUGGUAUCAGAGCUAAGGCUCUAAAAUCCUAAUUUUUCAGUCUAGCAGCGGUCGUGCCUCUUCCUCUGUGUUUUACCCUGUUCCCGGGUUACAAAACAGAGCAUCACAAACCUAAUUCUCAACCUCUCAGUCAUCAUCUCAAAUCUAUCUUCAUCUCUCUCACAAAUAUCAUUCCUAUGGCAGAAUCCGAGCACACCUCCAGGGACUCAUCCGCAUCUAAUCCCUCUCUUGGUGUUCCUAUAGCUCCUCAAUUAACUCAGACUACAACCAAAACUAGCCCCAUUUCCAUCACCUAUCAUAAGCUCAAUGGCCAUAACUAUAUCCAAUGGUCCCUGUCAAUGAUGAUGUUCAUAAAUGGACGAGGCCGAGAUGAUUACCUCACUGGCGCAUCCACCCAACCUAAUUCAAGUGAUCCGCAAUUCAGAUCUUGGAGGGCAGAAAACAAUCUUGUUAUGUCUUGGUUGAUCAGUUCAAUGACAACCGAGAUAGGAGAAUAUUUUUUGUUAUACACAACAGCCAAAGAGAUCUGGGACGCUGCACGUGAUACUUUUUCUAGCAAUGAAAACACAGCCGAACUUUUCCAUGUGGAAAGCAUUCUUCAGGACCUGCGACAGGGAGAAAACUCUGUCACCACCUAUUUCACUUCUCUUACCCGUCAUUGGCAGCAGCUAGAUCUCUUUGAAUCACACGAAUGGAAGUGUCCUGAUGACCGUACCUAUUUCAGAACCAUUGUUGAAACCAAGCGCAUCUUCAAAUUUUUAAUGGGUCUUGAUAAGUCUCUCGAUGAAGUUCGAGGCAGAAUCCUAGGGACCAAACCACUACCAAGUCUACGAGAAGUUUUUUCUGAAGUGCACCGAGAGGAGAGCCGCAAGAGAGUGAUGUUGGGACAACCUAGCCUUUCCUCUUCCCUAGAUGUUUCAACCCUUGCAGCAGCCAAGGAUCAUUCACCAAAUUCUGUUGCACUUGCUUCUCGUGGGAUGUCUCAAAAUUUUAUUGAAAAUCGGUCAAGAAGAGGACGCCCCUGGUGUGAUUAUUGCAAGAAGCCAGGCCACCUCAAAGAAACAUGCUGGAAAUUGCACGGAAAGCCCUCUGAUUGGAAGCCAAGCCGAGACCGUGAGUCUAGAGGAAAUGCAGCAAUUACUGAGACGUCCUAAUCCAACAAUCCGGUGUCUUUCACAAAAGACCAGUUAGCAUUACUUCAGCAGCUUAUUAGUAAGGCUAAUGUCUCAACUAAUCCAACAUCUACCAAUGUUGGGAACGGUUCAACACAUGGCUCAAACAACCUCGCACUUCAUGUAGCACAUUCCCCCUCUUCAUGGAUAGUAGACUCUGGUGCGUCGAAUCAUAUGACAGGUGACAGAUCUCUUUUCACAACCUAUUUCCCUUAUAAUGGUCAUCAAACAGUACGUAUAGCCAGUGGUACACGUACUAAAGUGGAAGGGGCAAGAACAAUCCAUCUCUCAGACACUCUCACCUUAUACUCUGUUUUAUUUGUACUUGAUCUUGACUGUAAUCUCAUCUCUGUGAGCAAACUAAAUAGCGACCUUCACUGUGAAACUAAAUUCUUUGCCAAAUAUUGUGUGUUUCAGGACUUGACCUCGGGGAUGAUGAUUGGCAAUGCUGAGCUUCGUGCUGGUCUCUAUCUCCUUGAUGUGAACACUUCAUCAGUUCCUGUUUCCUUAGCAAAUAAAAAUCGAGUCAAUCCUCAAUGUUGGUCAGUUCAUAGUCUCAAGUCAAUCAGUCAGUCAAAUAAGGAUAGUACAAUUAUGAUGUGGCACUCUCGUCUUGGUCAUCCUAAUUUUUUGUACAUGAAACGAUUGUUUCCAUCUUUAUUCAUUAAUAAAAAUCCCAAUUUAUUCCAUUGUGAAGUGUGUCAACUUGCAAAACAUACCCGAAGCACUUAUUCUCCACGACCCUAUAAACCAAGUCAUCCUCUCUCCCUCAUUCAUGGUGACAUUUGGGGACCAACUAGAAUUCCUAAUAUUACUGGCGGUCGAUGGUUUUUGUUGUUGGUUGAUGACCAUACCCGAUUAUGUUGGACAUUUCUUAUGAAAGAAAAAUCUGAGACCAACCAUAUUUUCCAACAUUUCCAUGCUAUGGUCCAAAACCAGUUUAAAACCAAUAUUCAAAUCCUUAAAACUGACAAUGCUAGAGACUUCUUUAAUUCUAUUCUCGGUCCAUAUCUCAAGUCCCAUGGUAUUAUACAACAAAGCUCAUGUGUUGACACACCACAACAAAAUGGUGUAGUCGAACGCAAGAACCGUCAUAUACUCGAAGUUGCUCGAUCCUUGCUUUUUCAAUCCAACGUUCCUAAGAAAUUUUGGGGCGACGCAGUCCUCACAGCCACUUACCUCAUAAAUAGAAUGCCCUCACGAGUCCUUACAUUCAAAUCACCACUACAACUUUUCCAUAGCCUUUAUCCAACCUCACGACUAGUGUCUCAAAUCCCUCUCAAAAUCUUUGGCUGUGUUGCAUUUAUUCAUAUUCGCCACCACAACCGUAGCAAACUCGAUGCACGUGCUCUUAAAUGUAUUUUCAUUGGAUACUCAGCCAAUCAAAAAGGCUACAAAUGCUACUCUCCAAUCACACGCAAAUUCUAUAGCACCAUGGAUGUCACGUUUUUUGAAGAUAAAUCAUUCUUUCCCAAUUUUGCAAUCCAGGGGGAGUAUGACACUCAUGAAUUACAAAAUUGGGAUUAGUCAGCCCUCCUUGAGUCAAAUCCAAGUCCAUCUCAUCCACAAGAAUCAUCACACUUACCCAACUCAUCAUCUGAAAUAAAUCCACCACAUUCACCCGAAACAAGUCCAUCUUCUGUGAUCUAUCCUAAACAUCUCAAUCUCCCUGAUGAAGCAAUAAAAGUUUACACAAGAAGAAACAUACCUUAGCAACCCGAACGGAGCCAACAAAGUCAAGAGACUUUCCCAAGUUCAAUUGAUCCUGAAAGGUCACAAAAUGAGGCAGGUUUCAGUCCACAGUCAAGUUCUGAAAAGGUGGCAGAGAGUGAUCCAAAAUUAGAUCUGCCUAUUGCUAAAAGAAAAGGCGUUCGAUCAUGUACUCAACACCCACUUCGUAGCUACAUCUCCUAUUCAAACCUAUCACAGAAAUUCCUAUCUUUUGUGACUUCUUUGGAUAAAACCAUGAUUCCUGGUUCAGUUUUUGAUGCCCUGAAGGUCCCUGAAUGGCGAGCAGCAACCUUAGAUGAGUAUAAUGCACUUGAGAAAAAUGGCACAUAGGUCCUAGCAUCAAUACCACCUGGUAAGAAAACUGUGGGAUGUAAAUGGAUAUUUUCAGUAAAGCAGAAGGCUGAUGGGAGCAUUGAUAGAUAUAAGGCUCGGUUAGUAGCUAGAGGGUUCACUCAAUCUUAUGGAAUUGACUAUCAGGAGACCUUUGCUCCUGUAGCCAAACUUAAUACAGUACUUGUCCUAUUAUCCAUUGCUGUCAAUCAAGACUGGCCUCUAUUUCAGCUUGAUGUGAAAAAUGCCUUCCUAAAUGGGGACCUAGUUGAGAAAGUCUAUAUGGAUAUACCAGUUGGUUUUGAAACUGAGCAAACAAGGGGAAAGGUGUGCAAACUGCAAAAGGCGUUGUAUGGGCUCAAACAAUCACCCAAAGCAUGGUUUGACAGGUUCACUAAGGUGCUCAAACAGGAUGGUUACUCACAGUCUCAAGCAGAUCACACAUUGUUCAUCAAACACUUCACAGAUGGGAGAAUCACAGUUUUGAUUGUCUAUGUUGAUGAUAUAGUUCUGACCGGGAAUCUCGAAGGAGAGAUGAGAAGACUUAAGAUUCUACUAUCCAAGGAAUUUGAAAUCAAAGACCUGGGACAUCUAAGAUAUUUUCUGGGAAUGGAGGUGGCCAGGUCAAGUAGAGGAAUUUCAGUCUCACAACGCAAGUAUGUUUUGGAUCUUCUGUACGAAACCGGUAUGAGUGGUUGCAAGCCGGUUGAGACUCCUAUGGACCCUAAUACCAAAUUGAUGCCUCGGACUGAAGAGUUAGCAACGGAUAAGGGACAAUAUCAACGCUUGGUGGGGAAGCUGAUAUAUUUGACACACACACACCCGGAUAUAAGCUUUGCAGUUAGUAUUGUCAGCCAGUUCCUGAGUAAUCCGUCAGUGGAUCACAUGGAGGCAGUUAGUCGGAUUCUUAGGUAUUUUAAAAAGGACCCUGGAAAGGGGUUAAUGUUAAGGAAAACACUUAAUCAAUCCCUUGAAAUUUACACAGAUGCAGACUGGGCCUGGUCCCCUAUUGAUCGAAAGUCUACAUCUGGGUACUGUUCAUUUGUUUAGGAAAACUUGGUGACUUGGAGAAGUAAAAAAUAGCAAGUGGUAGCCCGCACAGUGCCGAGGCCGAGUUUCGAGCAUUAGCUCAGGGUAUAUGUGAAGGAAUUUGGCUGAAUCGACUGAUAGGUGAACUCAAGAUUGGAAAUUCAAAUCCUAUUAAGAUGAUGUGUGACAACAAAUCAGCAAUUGCAAUUGCCAAAAAUCCAGUUCAUCACGACAGAACGAAGCAUGUUGAGAUCGAUAGGCACUUCAUCAGUGAGAAAAUAGAAGGCAAUGUGAUUUCUCUCAACUAUGUGCCCUCUCGACAGCAAGCAGCAGAUAUUUUAACUAAGGCCUUGUUUCGACCCAACUUCAUUGAACUAAGUUCUAUGCUUGGUUUAAUAAACAUAUAUCGCCUAGUUUGAGGGGGAGUGUAGGAAAACAAACUAGUCAAUUAGAGAAGUAAUUAUUUUCCUAUAAUUAUGGUUUGAAUAUUAGGAGUUAGUUUCCUAAUUUUUCUAGCUGAUUUUUUGUAUACCAUAGAUAGAUAGGGUAAUUUCUAUUUUUCUAGGAGCUGAUUAAGGAUCUGAUUUUCAGAUCUUUGUGUAUAUAUAUGUAUUCAUUCUGAUCAAUAAUACAUAUGAAAAUAUUCCCAAAUCCUCACUGCUUCAAUAUGAGUGCGGUAACUGUGGUGGAAGUGUAUAAUCUUGGGUUGGUGGUGGUGACUUGUGGCGAUAAAGUGGUAGUGUUCUGGAUGCCUGGGUACAAUAGAUAAUGAAGUGGUGGCGAUUAGAGGCAGCAGCGGCAGGAGAGUGGUUGUGAGAGAGGAAUCGGGUAAAACUAUGAGGGUAUUUUAUGUUAAUGGAUUGGUUAUAAUCGGGCUUGGUUGGAUAUUUAGGACUGGCCAGAUGGGAAGGGGUUUGAAUCCUAUUAUAGAGAUGGGCCAGCUGGGAUUAGUGUUUGGGGAGUUGGCUUAGAUCAUAGAGAGUAGGCUGGGUUAAUUGGGCUAAACGGAAUUGGGCCUUGUGUAAGUAGGAUUGAAUGUUAGGGUUGGAAUUUGUGAAACAACACUACAAUUGUAUAGAAGAAACAGCAGCAAGCGAGAUUUUAUUAUUAUUAUUAUUAUUAUUAUUAUUAUUAUUAUUAUUAUUAUUAUUUUGUGGGUGAAACUAAAAUUGCAAAAAAAACCUAAACUGAAAUUUUCGCAUGUGAACAGUAACUUUUUUUUUUUUUUACGAACUAACCAAAAUACUAAAAAUGAAAUUUCGGGUGUGAAUUGUACUUGUGAACAGUAACACGAUUUUUUUUUUUUUUUUUAACAAAGACAGAGAACUAAAAAAAAAUGAAAAACGCUGCUUUUACGCUAAAUCUUUUUUAAUUGUGUUGUUCCAACAAAUUUCGAGAAGAAAAUAAGAAGAAAUUUUGGAUUUUAUGAGAGGAAAUACCCAAGAUUCGGCUCUGAUACCAAAUGUGAUGUAGGACAAAGAAGAGGAUAGCAAGAAAGGAAGGGAGAACCACAGAGCAGGAGGAAAGAAACCGGAGAAGAGCAGAAAUUCAGGGGGAAAGGGGAAGGGAGAGGAAGGAGACGCCACAACCAAUCUCAAUAAUUCAUAUUCAUCCAAAUUAAUGAAGUUACAUAGGAAAUUAGGUUUAAGUAGUAAAGAGAAAACCCUAAUUAGAAUGGGUUUGGGCCGAUACAAGCCUAAUUACAUAAAUAAGAAUCCAAAACUAAAAUAAAGUCCAACAAGAAAUAAAUAAAAUAGAUAAUGUCCUCAUAUGGUUUUUCUCGAAAAACUGAUUUAAAGCUUUGCAACUCAAUUACUCCUGUGUCUUUCUUUCGUUCCAAAAAUCUUGUGAAUUAGAGUUUUGAGAAGAAUUUAGGUUUAUUGUUGAUUAUAAACUAGUAGCUUGAGCAGCUUUCAAGAUAGGAAGAAUACUUAUAGACUUUCUAAUAGCGAAUUGUGAAAAAAUAUCUUUAUAUGAGAAAGAGAAAAGUCUCUGCAGGAAGUAUUUUUUUGUUGCUUGUUGCACAGUGUCCGUUUGACUUCUACGAACAGUUUUUUUGUCGUCUAAUUCCUCCAAUUGCUUGAUCUGGAUCUUUGAUUCUGAGAAUAUCACAUUGAAUGUAUGAAGUCCUUCAAAUACUUCAAUAAACGUUAGAAUGAUCAACGAUGGACUUUUGAAACUUUCAAUACAACCAAUUCUUUGCUGGUCUUUCUGUUGUUCCUCUUCAGAUGUAUGAUCCAAAUUAUCAUUCACAGGACCUUUUAAACAAUUCAUGUCAAAGGUCAGUGACGUAUAUGAUCAUCUUAAACAUUUCACAUUUAAUGAAUGCAAAUCAACUUUAAGACAUAUGACCAUUGUUUCUUUCCACGUCACACGUGAUACAACUUCAUCAUAUAUAUGACCCUUUUGUUUUUUCUGUGUCGUACAUAUAAUCCUUUAGACAUUCUACUUCAUACAAGCAAUACAUUCUCACACGUAUCUCUCAAACCUUCCACAUCAAUCGUAUGAUUCAUUGCAUAAGACAUUUGAUGCUUCUCUAUCUCCUUGAAUCUGUCUGUGGCGUGUGGUUGAAAAUCAUUAAGUGAUAUGAUCUUCCAAAAAAUUCUUUUGGACAUCACUUAAAUAACUGAACUUUUUAUAUCAAAUCUUGUUAACUAUCUCUUGUACAAAGAUUAUUGCAUGACUUUAUACGUGCAUUGCACUCAAUCGAACAUAUCAGUAAUAUUUUAUGUGUUGGUUAUUAUCAGAUGGAAGAAGGUAAUAUAUUAAAUAGUCAGGAUAUUGUUGUUUAUAGAUAUUUCUUAAGUUUUACGUGGUAAAGUGUAUGCAAUCUUUAUGAAGAUGCCUGUAAUUUUUUAAUAGAUUUAUUGUCUUUAAGUUGUCUGUUUUAGUUUUAAUUUUUGCUUUGGACUUGUUGAUACUCAUUCACGACUCUGUCUCUGUAUCAGUUUAUUAGUUAUGGAUGCAUCAGUUUUUUAGAGUUCCUACAUAUUGCCCCAUUGACUGAAAGAAGUAGUUCGUGAUGAAAUAGUGUCAUUUUAAUGCUUGUUUCCAUUUGCUUUAUCAUUUGUCUUUCCGUUUACAUAGUUCAUUAUAUUUUUAUUUCAGGUACAUUUUGAUUUAUCUGAGAUCAGACAAUUAUUUUGGGGUUCACAAACAUAAUCUUCUUGUCUCAUAUUUCAGGGUGUGGGAAUAAUCGUUGCUGUAGGUGAUUCUGUUACAAACUUAAAGCCUGGCACUCCGGCGGCUAUAAUGACUUUUGGAAGUUAUGCUGAAUUCACCAUGGUAAAUCAUAGAUAUUUGUUUAACUUUGAGAUAGGUCGGUUUUGUUGUUCUUUUUUAUUUUUUUAUUUUUUUGGCCAUAUUUCUUGAGGUGAUAAUAUGCAUAAACAUGUAAUUUAGGUAUCUUCAAAACACAUCCUUCCUGUGGACAGGCCAGAUCCAGAAGUUGUUGCCAUGCUCACAUCAGGAUUGACAGCAUCUAUAGCUUUAGAAAAGGUUUUUCUUCACUCAUGUCUGAGAUACGUCCUUUUUCCUUAAUUCUUUUAUUCUCCUCUGCCUUAUUCAAGAAUUUUUAUUUUGAAUGUUUUGUAUUCUCAGCAUAACCUUUAUAUUUAUCUUUAAUCUUUGCAGCUAGUAGAAAAAAAUUCUUUUGCUUGUGUUAUUUUAUUUCGACGACAUAUUUCAUAGCCUUUCCCCAUUUGUUAACUUUGUAGGCAGCUCAAAUGGAAUCAGAAAAAGUAGUUCUUGUGACUGCUGCUGCAGGAGGCACCGGGCAGUUUGCUGUGCAGGUGUAUUUGUAAUGAUGACAUGGAUACACGUCUAAUAUAUUCAUACAAGUAUAUUGUCAGCAUUAAGAUAUGCCAAUAAUACAUGGAAAACUUGCAGUAUGCAUGGUGAUGCUUAAUCUAUUUAUCUGUUUUAAAGAAACUAUCUCAAUUCUUUUAGCCUUUACUUGUUUCAAUUGAUCACCCUUUUAUUAGUGGGAAACUCUCAUCUAAGAGGUUUGUUGGAUAGGUUAAAUGUAUUAGAGGCGUGAUUGAUUAUUUAUUUAUAGGGUUAUGAUACCAAUUUUGUUGAAUGAUCUCUUCAUUGCUCGUCUUUUAUUUAUAGAUGUUCAUAUGAAUAUACAAGGAAACAAAAUUACAAUUGGGGGCUAUAGAAGGAAAGCUAUAAAUCAUGUCUACACAAGGAAAGCUAUAAAAAAUAAAUAAUCAAUCACGCCUCUAAUAAAAUGUUUACAGCUUUACCUGGAGAGUGGCUUAUAUAUGUGAGGUCUUGAUGCCAGAUUGCAGUAGAGCAUCCUUGCCACUGCUCCAAUAUCUAUCCUUCAUAUUUUUGUCCACUGUUUCUGGUCACCCUCUAUGGUUUUGGGUAGAUAAACUGAAUAAGAUCCUUUCUUCUAGAUUUCUUAUUUCAUUUUGGUUCAUGUUUGCAUCACCAAGAAUGUGAAACAUCUCUUAAAUUGUACUGAAGAGAAAUAAUAUUACUUUCAAGUCAUUCUUACUGCAAUGAUAAUGAGCUUAUAACAACUAUUACUUACUGCAGCUUGCUAAACUAGCUGGAAAUAAGGUUGUUGCAACUUGUGGAGGCAAAGAAAAGGCCAAGCUUUUGAAAGAUUUAGGAGUUGAUCGAGUCAUUGACUAUAAAGAAGAAAAUAUCAAAACUGUACGUAAUAUUUUGUUGUUCCUUAUUUUAUUUUACACUUGCAUAAAUGGUGGUCAGAGAGUAAGGAUGUGGAAGGUGGAAAAAUAUAAUGCACUCUAGCAUCUCAAGGUUGAAAUUUGCUUUGGGUUUACAUAUAAUUGUUUGGAUGUGAUCUCGUCCAUUCUUUUUUAUUAGACCAACACAAAUCCAACUGCUCAUGUUUAUGUGAUAGGAACAAUUUCUUUACUUGGUUCUGUGUCCUAACUCUUUAAAGUCAUGAUAUGAUGGAUCUACAUUGCAGACAUGCCAUUAUGUGGGGCCACUUCUCAUUAAAGCUCAAUCCUAUUUAAUCUUCCUUUUAACAUCUUUAUCAAAAUGGAUGGUCGUUCUCCUGGUGAAGAAGCUUAGUGGGGAAAACACAGUUUCUUGACAUAUAUUUAGUGAAGAUAUCUUCAAUGCAGUUACUCAGAAAUAAAACUCCUGAAAUAUUAAAUAAUAGUCCUGCUACAUGUACAGUUUCGUUGACAUUGGAUGAGGUACGAGGCAGUUUGGCCAUUGAUUUGAAUAACAUUUAUUCAAAUCAAUGGCCAAACUUUUUACACGUCAUCCACUGUUAAUCUAGUUGUACAAAAUCAAUCUACAACUAGUUUAAUUCAUAAAGAAAUGAAUUCCUUGGAUAGUGGAUAAGCGUUCUCUGUAAACAUUAGGUCCUUAUCUCUUAUACAGUUUUGUCUUUCUUUCUUUUCUUUUCUUUUCUACAUGCCUUAUCCUGUGAGUAAGACUAAUGGUUGAUUAGGAAAAACAUGCUACAGAAUUUUCAUCUUUUCUUUUCCUUUUUUAUUUUCCUGUGAGUUAGACUAGUGGUUGAUUAGAAAUAAAAUGCUUCAGAAUUUUCAAGUUUUGACUUCCCUCUCCCUAUCUCAGGUCCUUAUACAGAUUCAUCUAUUCUUUCUUUUUAUUUUCCUUGUUUCUGUUGUAAUGGAUGAAAUCUUAUCCUGUGAGUUAGAUUAAUGGUUGAUUAGAAGUAAAAUGCUUCAGAAUUUUCAUCUCUCUCUCUCUCUCUCUCUCUCUCUCUCUCUCUCUCUCUCUCUCUCGUGCGUGACCGCAGAAUGAUGUAACACUCUGAAGUCAGGGAUUAGUUUUCGCAAUAUGUCAUAAGUUGAUUUGUCUUUUAUUUAUUUUGCGCCCAAACAUAUGAAAUCAAGCCCCCUAGUUUCCAGAACAUCUUGCAAUGAUAAUUGUUCUGACUGCUAUGUGGCCACAAAUAUUGACAUGGUUUGCCUACUUCUGUUCUAAUGUAGAACAAGGUCUACUACUAGUACUUUUUAUUUGCCAACCUUUUGGACAUUCGGCAAAAGACUAGAUGAUUUGAAGAUUUUUUGAGGAAUUUUAUAAUUUUGCAACUUUUUAUGUGUAAAGGUCAAUAUAUAUUUGGCACCCAACAUUAAGUUUGGGUGUGCUAGGUCACCCUCCUUUCUUUUGUAAAAGAAGUUGAAGGGACUCAAUUGUUGACAAGUCUAGAGUUGGUCUUAAGAAUAUUAGGAUUGGUAGGUUAAGUCCAUUAUGCUGUGUUAGGCUCCCAUCAACCAUUUAAACGACAGUUCCUUAAGGUUUAUCAUUACUUCUUGGUCACAUAUAGCACAUGAAUAGUUGAGAAACCAAGAACAGGUACAUUACUUAUACGCGGAAUUUAACUAAGAUAAAAUUGAUAUACACAUGGAGACACAAUAACUGAGCCAUCAUGAAGGGGAUCUCUGUUGAAACUUAAUAGAUAUGGAAACAUAAAACAAGUAUCUACCAACCUUGUAAAAUCAAGGCAUGAGGCUCACACUUAAAACCUAAAAAUAGAUCAAGGAUCGUCAUUAGAGGAAAGCCUUGGGAUUUACUACCCGUGAAGUUCUUUAUCAAAAUAUGAAUGAGAAGAAAAAUGAAAUUCCAUGAUCUAUCAAAAAUGGAACCUCUGAUGUUAUGUUAUUAUAUGGUGAUUUUCUUGAUGUAUUCUAUGCAAAUCAAGGGCCUUUUAUUUCAGGAAAGGGAGAGGACAAAAUGAGAUGUCUACACAAAUGCUUAAAUUAUACAAGUUUUUCCAUUGACAACGGUAUAAAUGCUUAAAAUCUUCCAAAAUCGCGAGCAUGUUUUCGUGUUUCCAGGUUCUAAAGGCUGAGUUCCCUAAAGGUGUUGAUAUUGUCUAUGAAUCUGUUGGUGGUGAAAUGUUUAAUCUCUGCUUGAAUGCUUUGGCAAACUAUGGCCGACUUCUUGUGAUCGGAAUGAUUUCUCAGGUUUGGACUUGAUUCUGAACAUACACAGUAUUUACUUCCAUCUGUUGGCAUCAGUCUUGAUUGACCUACCAUAUAUUUAGACUACUACUCAUCUCAAAGGAAACAAGUUUCUUUAUCAUUUAAUUCUUGGUCUCCAAUUCGUUGUUUUAACGUCUGAUGACAAAUUCAUCUGAUUUUAGUAUCAAGGAGAACAUGGGUGGAAGCCAAGAAAUUAUACGGGGUUAUGUGAAAAGAUUCUGAGCAAAAGCCAGACUGUGGUAUGUGAUCUAUAUUUUAUACGUUUCACACGUUAAUCGACUGUUUUACUCUGAUUUUUUUGCUAUCAAUGAAUUGGUUGGUGGCCAUUUUCCAUUUUUCAUUUUAAUAUGGUAUCUUUGGAAUCAGUAAAGUUUGACUUUCAGUUAAUAGAGUAAUUAUGUUUUCAGAUAAAUUUUUUCUCAUUCACUCAUCGCAAGUACAAGCACUAUACUUAGCCGCGGGAGUGUAUAAAUAGUUUACUAUUGUUGUUCAUUAUUGAUUUUUCCUAUAUUGCUCAGUAUGUUGUUCUCAGUCCACUAUCGUUGUUUUAUGACUUUAUCUGCCUUUCUAUUACUGUUAAUGUUGUUAUUGAAUAUUCUAUGGUCUUUAUGUAUCCUAGCCAUUUCAAAUAUUCAUCUGUAGAAGUUUAUCCCAGUAGCGUUUUUAUUUGGUUGCACAAAAUGUAGAAUCUCCAUUUCACCUAACGUUGUCCUUGGCAAUUUGACCUGUAAUCAAAGGCUAAUGUUAUUGGCCUAGUGGCCUUGUAAAAUUGGUUUCCAACUUAAUUUCCUCCAAACUGAAUAGCGAAUCAUUCGAGGAAAUGAUUCCAUCUGUAAGUAAUGUCCAUAUGCCCAAAAUAUGACUUGAAGAUAUCAUAUGUUCCUUUCUAUGAGACUUCGUUAAAUUUGAACUUUGUUUUUGUUUUAACAUAUCUCAUGAUGAUUGAAUUACGACCAGAUGACUCUUGAUUUGUCCCAUUAUUUUAAUGGCUUGAUGCUGAAUAUUUUCAGACUGGCUUUUUCUUAGUACAAUAUGCUCACCUCUGGCAUCAGCAUCUAGAUAAGCUGGUUCAUCUUCACUCCUCAGGAAAGCUCAAGGUAGAAUGGAUAAUGCUAUUUAUCUCCAAUACCAUUAGAUAUGAUUGCUACUCGGCAAUGUGGCAUAUGAUGUGCUAAGAAAUGAUAAGACCAAUUAAAUGUAAAGAUAUAAGACCAUUUAUGGAUAUGAGACCAUUUUAUUGGUCUUAUCAUUUAAUGUAACAUCAUACAGUGAUUAUCUCUAAUGGACACAAAUAGCAACUCAGUUAGAAUACGUUUGCUCAGCACUUUUUGGUUCAUAUAUGCACAGGAAGUUUCUGUCUCAGAUUACUUGACUACAAGUAGUCAUAACCUACAGACAUAAUUAUUCUUAAAUCGGAUUAUUAAAAUACUUGGAUCAUCAUGUGCAUGUUUUGGAUACAAGUAGCGAACAUGAUUAUACAUAUCUUCACAAGACUUGCUUUCUCUCUGUAUGACAGGUCGCUGUCGAUCCGAAACCAUUUUUAGGCAUUAAUUCGGUUGCUGAUGCAGUUGACUACCUUCAUUCUGGUAAAAGUGUGGGCAAGGUAUUCAUUCCUUACCACAAGGCAGUUGCCUUUAUCUUUCUAAUACCUCUUAUUCUUCUGAGCUAAUAGAUUUGAUUGCUAUUUACCCACUUCAAUACCUUUAUUGAAAACACUGCAGGUUGUUGUUUGCAUUGACCCGUCGUUUGGUCAACAACUAGCAAAAUUAUGAGCACGAAAUGUUCAAGGACCUCCCAAAAACUUAUUUUCUACAUUCGAGAAAUAAAUAUAGUUGCAAGAUUUACCAGAUGUGCAAUUUUUUAGUCAUACAAAAGCCAAAAAAUGCAAACCAGCCCAAAACAAGAGGCGUAACUCAAUAAAAGGGAAUAGGAGAAUAUGCCAGCCACUAUUCUGCUUGCCAUUGUAAAUUUCCAAGUAUUCUUAUCUGAGGGUAUAUUUGGUAUACCCACCCAUGUUAGCUUUAUUUUCUUCCUCGUAUAGAUCAAACAACGCAGUGAAUAAGAUUUUAGCUUAAUUUUCGUCUUUUAUAUUAUUCCAUCAAGUGUGUGUUUUGUACUUUUCAACAAUGAGUAUGUAUGUUUUAUGUUUGAAAUGGUAUAAAAGACAACGUUCUAACUUUUUUUUCUUAGCUCCAUCUAUUUUAUUCAAUUCAUAUUAAUUAGUUGUUUAAGCCUUUUGUACAGAAAGGAGGCUACAGAAGUCCACCAGAUUACUCACAUGGUGGGCCCCAUGUGGAUGACAGGACUAUAUUUCACAAAAAAUGACCAAUUUAAAAAUUAAUUUUCAAUUAUGCCAAUAAUAUGAUAACAACUUUUAACAUAUUUCACCCUUAAAACUGGAUUGUAAUGGAAAAAUUUUCGAAGUGAACCCAUAAGAAAAGCCUUCCACGAGUGAUUUGGGAUAUAAUUGGAUACUUGAAUUCCAAUCCCCCUCUUCAAGAUCAUCGUUCGUGGCAGUUCGUUUUUCAAGAAAUCAGUAUUCUACUAGAAUUACCCUCCCAAAUUACCAUUCACAAGAUGGGUUUUUGCUUAUUUUUAUACCAAUUAUAAUAAAGAUCAUACUACAUGUACAAUUUUUUUUUUUUUUUUUUUUUUUUUUUUAAAAAAUUUCCUAAUAAAAACACAAUUUAAAAUUUUUUUUUUUUUUUUUUUUUUUUUUAACAAAUUUCCUUACUACUCACAAUUGGGGUGGAAUCAGAAAUCGACAUUUUUUAAAUUCACGUGAAAUCAGCUAAUUUUAUAAGAGUGAGUACAACAAGAUUUUAUACAAAUAUUUUAUCCUUGUAAUACUCACUUUUGGUAAAAUUCACUAUAAAACUGGGCUUCUGUAGAGUUUUAUACACCCACGAGGUAAAUUUUCUGCAAACAAUACAAGAGACGAAAUCAUUAUGGACACUUAGCCACUAUUUGUCUUCCAUUAAAUUAAUUUUUUUAAAAGCUCAUUUUAACCACACAUUCACACAAAAAAAUAUUUUUCAUAUAAAUUCAGAACUUUUUCCACUUUUAACCUCACAUUCUCCAAAAAUCAUUAUUCUAAAACUCAUUUUCCCCAAAAUUCUUUUUGAUGGAAAACAAACGUAUGCUUGAGUUAAAAUAAAAACUUGCAAUAUUAGCUGAAUAUUUUCUUAAGUGCAACAGAUAAUGAAAACAUUCAUAACUUUAGUAAUCUAAACCAAGAAAAACCAUUCAGCCCAGAUGUUAGUACAUCUAAAAGAAACUAAUUCUACAUAAACUACGAGAAGAAGUCUCUAAAAUUAUACACGGAAGAUCUUUUUAUCAAUUCUAUUUUAGCCCUCACACAGGCAGGCCACAAAAAUUUUAUGGGCUGUAAACACUUGCUAAUGCACAAAUUCUAAUAGUAAUGCUGGCCUACAUUCUUCACAAGUAAGCUUCGUCCCUUUGUAGUCUGUCAUGUAGAAACUGCAUCAAAAACAUGCCAAAUUUUAACAAUAUGUUUUUUUCUUCAAUUCUAUUUAGUCCAGAUGUACCCUAAGAAUUGAUUUUCUAGUAUUUUCUACACUGUCUACAAAAGAUGUAACGUAUAAUUACCAUGGUACCUUCAUAUUCGUCUUACUUACUGCAGUACAAAGUAACAUAGAAGAAUAAUCAGCUAUCGCCAUCUCCAGUUUCAUUGACCCUUAUAAUGUAAACCUGAAAUUUAGAGGUAACAGCAAUAACAAGAACGACAAAAUAUUCAGAUUUAAAAUAUAUUAAUGAGAAGUAAAAUGAAUUAUUAACAAUACCAACAUCAAUAUGAUUUUACUUUAGAAGUAUAGAAUGAAUUUCAGAUCACAUUUCCACCAAAACAGAGAAAACUCAAACAAAGAAACACAUAAUUUAAUCCAUAUGACAAUUUAAUAUAAACUAGUAAACCAAGGGGGGAAUCUAUGAUCCACCAACACGGACACGUGUGUUGAUACGUCGACUAGUGAUUUUUCAAAAAGUACUGACACGACACGUCGUCCACACGUUCAUUAAAUUCUUUAAAAUUCUUCAUUUAUAUAAUUUAAAUUUAGUUUUAUACUUAUUAUUUAUUUUUUUCUUUUGUUGAAAUCUUUUAAACUUGAGUACUUAUUUGUUAUUUACUAAUAACUUUGAGUUAAAAAUAUAUAAUAAUUAUAGUAAGAAAGAAAAAUGAUUAUUGUAUAGUGCCCGAAAAGUGUCGAUUUCGACAUAUGUCGAACAUGGACAUGCUAUCCCAGUUAGAGUGUCCGUACUACAUAGGGGAAAAUCAUUUGGCUGCCUAGUUGAUAAUUAUAUUUUGGUUCCACUCUAAUAGUUUAGUUGCAAUGAAUGAUCCUAGUGCCCAAUGCAGGAAACUUCUAUGGUGUUCAGUUCAUUAUCAGAAGAAAUAAUCGAUUGCAAGAAUUCAUGUUCUUUAAAGGAUAAACUUUUGUCCUUGUGCCAUUUGACUUUAACGGCAUGCUUGGCAGGUUACAUUCAACAACACCGGGCACUACUAAGAAAGAAAAUGAAACUAAAAUCAUGCUAUCUGCAUGGUCUAAUCCAAUUUAAUAUUGCAAACCAAACACACUCUAGGUUUAAUCUAUGCCAUCUGCAUAGAUAGAAACAUCAUCAUAUGCUAUCCGACGGCCGCAACCUUGUAAGCCUUGUGUUUUCAAAGUUGGUUGCAAGCAAUUUUUGCAUUUUACUACCUCCAUGUUUUAAUAAGCGAGACACUAACAAUUCAAAUAAGUAAAUCAAAUGUAACCAGCAAGAGCAGAAUUGAACUCUGCAAGAUUACCUUAAAUGUCGUAGGAGAAACUAACUGGAAAACCAGUGCAUCCCCAUCCACUAACUCAUGGUCAAUUGCAAAACCUCUCCAUCCACCACUAAGUCCUGCUUUCUGAGCAAGGUACUUUGUUGGAUGUUCGUCGCCCGCUUCAUCCACUAGAAUGAUAGUUUCAUCACGAGUUGGAAGGUGAUUUUUACAAAAGAUAUGUGGAAGACCCUAUUGCAAAAAUGUAGUAUUAACAAUAUUGCAUGUUCUGAAAACAGCAAACUGAACAAAGUAGCGAAAAAGGAUUCGAGUAGCUACCCAAUUUUAUUGACCACAAAAUAUUAACUUAUUGUUGAUGAUUCUAAAAACAUGUUCCAAGCCGAUAUAUUUCCCAAAUACGCUAUAAACAACCUCAUAUUGAUGAUUCUAAAACUCAUGUCCAUUACUAUCAUGGUUUAAGUCUAUAUAGUUUUUGAAAAGUCUAGUCCAUUUAGUUAAGUUAUUAAAUUUAUUAAACAGAUGUCUUAGAAUGUUAAAAGCAUGUUUAGUACAUAAAAGAAUGACCAAGACUUUUACUUCUUUAUGUUCUAGUAAACUCAUACUUACCAAACAUGUCUCAUAGGGACAAAAAACUUUCCAAAAUUUAAACUUCGUGGGUAACAUGGAUUAUGAUGAAUUAAUCGACAACCGAAGGAUGACAAACUUCUCUCGAUCAUGAAAAGAUUUGAAAUUGUAGGAUAUCAGUUGCCAAAAACAGUCCCCAACUUUUUAUAGGGUGGACUCUAGAAUGCUAGACGGUAUUAGAAACGAAAAGGCUAAAAUCUGGUCCAUUAUACCAGAUAUAUUUUGUUGCUAAUAUAUCCUUAGCGUUCUUCAUUACGCUAACUUCUUUAUUGUUGACUUCUUUAAGAGUCGAACAUAAUAUUUUACUAAACUUACCAGCCAAAAUCCACCUGUGACGUGUGAUUGAAGCAUAGGCUUAAUAAAAUUAGGAAUAUCUUGAUCUAAACUUGAUUGUAGUUGCUCUGCUCUUUCAAUAGCAUAUUGUCGAUGUUCAUCUGAGGCAUAGACUCGAUUUAGCAAAUCCCUUCUUUGAUAGCUAUAAAUGAACAUCAGAAACCCACAAAAAACGAGGAAUCAGUAUAAUAUAUAGCAUUGAUUUGUUUCAUGUGGAAAAUCAAACAAGUGAAGGAACUAUGUACAAACCUCCUCCUUGGCAACCCCAAUGGUUCAACUCCAACCUAAAACAAGAGCAUUUAUUUGAACCUCGUGACGUCAUACGAAUAAAAGGAUUAUACUAGAAAUAGCAUAUUUGAACCGGUGGACUCCACAAAACUAGACAGAAUAAUGGAAAGUUUUACACAUUUUGCUUCUUUAAUCUCGUUCAUUUUGUUAAGUCUAGGUACUAAAUGUGCUCUAAAGAGCCUACUUUUAUGCUACCUAACAUAAAUGCAUAAGCUAGCUUCAAAAAGGAGUUCAGCAAAAUCAUUGAGGCACUUCCUUCACCAAUAAAGAAAAAAUGGAUUGGAUAUCCUAUAAUAAUCCUCUUUGUGAAGUAAAAACAUUAAUAUUCUGAUUUCUGAAAUAUCUAAAUAAAUCAGUGAAGAGAACUUGCGAAAAAGUAGAAAUGCAAACUUGGAUAUUUCCAAAAAUAAUCACUUAAUAGUUUUGUUUCAAUUUAUACACUCACGAAUUUUUAAGACCCUCUCAUCAUGGACAUUUUGAAACCUAACAAUACACUUAAAUUGUUAGUUUAAAAGUCUUUACUCAAAUAAUCUGGUUUUUCCUCUUUUCAACAAUUGAUUUAAAAUCAACAGAAUCCGGGUUAAAUCAACCCUGAGUCAAGUUAUCAGUCCCUACUGACGAAGAAUUUUCACAAGCUAGUUUAUAGAUACAUGUAAAAGCGUAUUAAAAAGGAAUACGAUCAUUUAACCAGUUCAUCUGUCUGUCGUUGGUCCCAGUCUUUAGGACUAGUUAAGUCUAAAAGCAAAGGGGUUUGAUCACCAAAAAACUAUUGCAAGAAUCAGACACAAAAAAGGGAUGCCAUUCGUGAGAAAAUCAGAUGGUUUACGGACUUCUUUGUAAUUAGGGAGAGGCUUGUCUGCGACUCGACUUGAUCUUCUCACAGCAGAGAGAUCCAAUGGCUGUUUGGGUACCUUUGGCUUCACCUUCUUCAUCUAUCACAUAUAACAAAACAAUCCAAUAUCACGUGUUUGUUAAGAUGGAUUGGAAAGUAUAAAAGAAGCUAAAUUUUGUUAUUUAAUGUCGAUACAGGGGAGGAUUUAGGGGUAUGGAGAGCUUGAGCGAGCUUGUUGAGAUUGAGCUGUUCCAUUCUCUUCUUGUUCUCUUCCAGCCUCUUUUGCCGGCUUUCCUCGUACCCCGCCUUCUUUGCCACCACCAUUUUUUUGUUCUUUGCGUGUAUGUAUGUGUGUUCUGGUUUUGAUUAUUGAUCUUGUUAGAGAUGGAUGAUUGUUUUUGGUUGGGCUAAUGCAAGGGAAAGGAAAAGGAAAAGAGGAGUAGAGGACCGUUGAAAUUCUUUCUCCUUCCCUCCCAAAACCCUACUGUGGGACCUAUUUUCAUAUUUCAAAUUCGAAAUCUUUGUACAUUGGGCGCUGUGUGUGCGGAGACAGACAGAGAUUUUUGUUGGAGCAAAGAAUUUCAAAUUAUUGAGAAAAUAAUACUACAUCACAAAUAUGGGAAUGACAAUGGGUGAGGAACCCCACAUAAUGCUGGCUGUACCGAAAGAGGCUUGCAAGUACUUUAUAGAAAUUUUGAAAAAUGCUGAGGUGGCAAGAUUUGAUAUUUUUUGCCACUGAAAAAACAAAGGGAUGGACUAAAACAACAGCGGGAAAACUUGCCUCAUUUCCACCAUUUUCACAGUCCAUUCCUUUCUUUUGUCUAAUCAAGAGUUGCAUAUUUGUGUGGUUAAAAGUCCUCUCCGUCGAUGGCAAGGCAACUGGUGCUACACUUCUUGGGGAAAACCCUCCUCAUUUCCCCAAUUUUCCCAUUACAUUCCAAUCUUUGGCCAAAAAAGGAAUUACAUCUAUUUUCUCAGCCCAUCCUUUUGUUCAACCGUCAGCCGCACUAUAAGAUGAUAAUAAACUACUGGAGUCAGGUUUUCUAGGGUUUGCGAGUACCCGUGUCGAGUUCGGACUCUGUUGCCAAGCAUCAAAAUUAAAACGAGGAAGCGCUUACAUCUGCUAAAAUUUGGGGGAUGUUGAAGGUAUCUUUGUAGGCCGAAUAACAUUUGUUGUUUCUAUCUCCUUGGUUUUCUAAAAUUUCCUUCUUCAUUUUUUUAUUCUGUAGGUUUUGCCUUUUUCUAUGUUUGAAACAUUCGGAUUUUAUUUUUUUUGGUCGGUCAUUAAUUUCAAUUUCUUGAUCUGGGAUUUGUUCUUACUGUUGUCUAAAAGUGUUACAAGAAGUUUUUUUGAUCUAUUAUUUACUUAGUUUCCCAACAUUCAACCUUAUCUCUUGCCCAAAAAAUGAACAUAAUUACAAAAUGAUUUCUGAGUAUAACAUAACAUCUUGCCUGGAAUUAAUGAAUUAGUUUCCUGUCAUUAUUUUCAGCGAUUUUUCUUACCUUUUAAAUAUUACAUUAAUGUAGAUUGAACUUGUCAUAACAUUACAGCUUCUCUUCUUGCAACAUAGGAAAUUAUGGAAACUAGAAAUGACGAACUUUGUUUCAGAAUUCGAAAAUGAGGAACUUGUUUCAGAAUUCAAUAAUGAUAAUGCUGUGGAGAAUGUUAUUGGGGUGGAAGACGAAACACCAGGACAAAAUGGAUUGAUUGUAUCUGAGGUGGGUAUAAUGUUCAAUGACAAUAAAGAAUUGUAUGACUUCUAUAAGAAGUAAGCUUAUGAUAUUGGUUUUUCAGUUCGAAAAAGAAACUAAAAAGAGGGGACGAUGGAUUAUUGAAAAAUGUGACCUUCACAUGUAGUCGUGAAGGUCGAAGACCGAGUAAUGCAAGCGGCUCUUUAAAUCCACAACCAAUCAAUCAAACAGAUUGUAAAGCAAGGAUCUCUACUUCUUCGGAUAGUCAUGGAAUAUGGAGAAUUAAUAAUGUCCACCUUGACCAUAACCACAGAACUAGCCUUUUCAAGUCUAGGUUGUAUCGAUGCAACAGAGAGUUGAGUGCAACCGUGAAACGGAAACUUGAAGUGAAUGAUUUGGCAGGAAUUUUUGUUACACGAAAGUUUCAACUCCGCAGUUGUUUAAGCGAGGGGAUAUGAGAAUAUGACAUUUGUGGAAAAGGACUGUCACAAUUAUAUUGAACAAGUGAGGUGAUUGCAACUUGGAAAAGGAGAUGCAGCCGCAAUACAAAGUUACUUUUCAAAAAUGCAAGCAUGAUGCUCAGGUUUUUUCUUUAGUAUGGAUGUAGACAACUAGUCUCGCCUAAAGAACGUGUUUUGGUCUGAUAAUAGGUAUAGGCAAGCAUAUAUGAAGUUUGGCGAUGUUCUCACAUUUGAUACAAUUCAUCUCACUAAUAAGUAUGACAUGUUAUUCGCACCUUUUGUUGGUGUAAAUCAUCACGGUCAAUCAACUUUAUUUGGUUGUGGAUUGUUAUCGAAUGAGGAUACAAAUACCUUUCUCCAGCUGUUAAGGACAUGGCUUGAGUGCAUGCACGGUAGAGCUCCUCGUGGAAUAAUUAUUAAUCAAGGUAGGGCCAUGCAAAAUGCUAUUGAGAUCGUUUUCCUAGAUACAAAGCAUAUGUAGUGUUUGUGGCACAUUUUGAAGAAGUUGUCGGAGAAGUUUGGAUACCAUGUUGAUAAGGCUUCCAUAUUUUCGGCUAUAUAUCAGUUGGCGUAUGAUUCACAGAAUAUUGAAGAAUUGGAAGCAUGUUAGAAAGAGAUGAUUGAGACGUAUGAGUUGAUGGAUAAUGAAUGGUUAUCAGGGUUGUAUGCUAAUAGAGGUCAUUGGGUGCCUUGCUUUUUGAAAAUGGCUUUUUAGGCGGGGAUGUCCACAACUCAACAAAGUGAGAGCGUGAAUGUGUUCUUCGAUGUUUAUGUCCAUUCGAAGACCUAUCUGAAGCAUUUUGUGGAACAAUACGAACGAGCACUCAGAAGUAAGGUCAAAAAGGAGUUCCAAGCUGAUUUUCAAGUCAUAUUCACAAAUGUACCGAGCGCUUCGAAUUAUGAAAUCGAAAAACACUUUCAAUCAAUAUAUAGUAUUUCGAAAUUCAAAGAAGUCUAAGAUGAAUUCAAAGGUAAGGUAUAUUGUGAUCUAAUAUCUGUUUCAGAGGGAUUUUCAGGGACCACGUAUGAGGUAUGUGAAGAUGUCCUCUAUUAUGAGGAUCGAAAGAAGAAAACUUCUUUUGUUUCAUUUGAAAGAGAGACAUCUGAGUUUAUAUGCAGCUGCCACUUAUUCGAAUUUUGAGGCAUUGUUUGUAGACAUGCGAUUGCGGUAUUGAUUCAUAAUGACGUCACACAGUUGCCUGAGCAUUAUACACUAUGAAGAUGGAGGAGAGAUGUUAGCAGAGCAUACACAAGAGUUGCAGUGAAUUACGACAGUCUGGUCAGUAUUCCCGGACAGCUGAGGUAUGACAGUAAGUGUAAAGCUUUUGCGGAGGUGGCUAACCUUACUGCAGAUGACGAGUGCCGGACACGAGUGAUAUUGAACUGGAUAAAAGUACAAGCGAAUGAGCUUAUGUCUACAAAGUCAUGUAGUACAAGUAACAUCGUUUUCGUAGCAUAUUAUAUAUUUAUCAUCUUAGUGUACUCCUUCGCAAACUACUACAACCGACAACAUAUGGGAUCCCAAUGUUGCAAAGAAAAAGGGGGCACCUUGGAGACUGCGAAGAAAAAGUCUGUUGGAGUUAAAGAAAUCAGGGGUUUGUUCAUUUCAUUAUACAUGCAAGCAAGUUCGACUGUGAGUAAAGGGAAGAGGCCGAGACAAAGGCACAGUAAUAAUGAAGAGGCUACACCUGAUUUUGUAGCGUUGCAACAACAAUCUUCAACGCAAACACCGUUCUCUUAUUCACAACUAUUAUUGGUGAGUACCAUCAUAUAAUUUAACUAAUUGUUUUAAGUGUUAUUUAUGUUCUUUGUUUAUGUAAGGCGAUGCCUAAAGUUUUGCCUAUACAUGACCCUUGCCAACAUCGGAUGCACUCCCUCCAUUGCCAACGAGUGUUAUAUUCAGUCCACAAGGUGAUGACGAGGUUAAUUCAUUACAUUUCUAUAUGAUACCUUCAAAUACGUGUACUAAUUUUUGUACUAUUUGACAGUUCAUUUGUUUCCUUACUAUUAUAUACCUAUGCCAUCACAAGGUGGUCCAACCUUAUGAAGGUGAAUAAUAUUUUGCAGUAAAAAAUUUUGAGCAUAUGCUACGUCACUGCCACCAAUCAUUUUGUAGAACGCGUGAUGAUAAGAAAGAUAUGGAUGCAAUCAUCAUCUAUCAGGUCUUCUAAAGUAGCAGUCCGCUAUUUUGUUGCACUAGUAAGUAUAUCAUUAGUAUUGGUGAUUUGUAUAAAUGUUUGCAUUCAUAGUGCUCGUAACCCCAGAAAUAAUAUUCAUUUUUUCCCGUAAUUUAUAGAGAGAAAUACAAUGCAAUUAUGAUAUUAAUUUCGUUGCUGCAUUUAGUUUAUCUUUAAUUUACAGACAUAUUUCAUCAGUGUGUGUUGAAAGGGAGUAUUCACUAGUAAGCAAGAUUAUAGGUAGAAUUAGAGCCACUUGGAUGCUUCUGUAUGCCCUAUUUAUGUAGUAACUAUGCAAGGAAUGCUUUUCACUAUGUUCACUAUGCUCAGAUUUAAUUAGUUUAGAUUACUAACACAACAAUUUUUAUAAUUUCGCCUUCAUAUACUGUCAUUACAAUGUUGUAUUGAGAUAUUUAUGCAUCUAGUUUUGUGGCAAAAUUUAAUCCAUUUUGGUGGAAUUCGUUUCAUCAUGCCUCUAGGUAGAAUUCGUUGCAUUGUGGCAGAAUUUAAUCCAUUUUUUGUUUUCAUUCGAACAUUAAAUGAAGCAUUAACAAUGGAGAUACAACUUUUGAAGAUUGCAACUGCUGAAUUGGGUGGCUACGUGAUUGAGACGAAUUUGUAGCUUUCAAUAACUUUUGAGCACUUCCUAUCUUUUACUUGCAGUCAUGUAUAGUUUGUGCGGAUGAAGUUAUAUAGUAAUUCUUUUCGUAAUAGUGUUAAUCCACUGACAACUUCUACUUUAUUCCUGUAUAGUUUAUGCAGCUAUAACUUAGUAAUUGCUUGUAACUGUAUAUGUACUUUCCGUCAAGUGCUCAAUGAAGUUUAUUUCCAAUUCAAAUUACGUCGACCGUUCCACUAAUUUCAUUCCUGCUAAAAUAAGCAACUUAUGUCUACCAUUCAUCGUUUACGAACAAACACAUAGAAUUCACGAAAUGUAAUGAAGAAAUAUAAGAUAUAUUUAAUAUAAAUUCUAAUGGCAUACAAAAUAUAUAGUAACGCUACACAAGUCUUUAAAUUACAUAUACAACCUGAACAAUCCGUUGACAAAAAUACUAAUAAUCAAGCCGAUCCUUUUUGUUUACCGUCCAAUUCCAAGCACCAUUUUCCUUUGUGGAAUGUCACUUGCAGUGACACCUCGACGUCUCAUUUCUCAGUUAUUCGGGCUAGAGUUUCGAGUAUGCUUGACAAGUAUUGAACUUCCUCAUUCCCUGCAACAGUUAUCACUUCGUUGCCAUCACUACAUUUUUCACUUGAUUCUCCUUUAUCCACCCAAUCAAAAAAUUCACAAUUGUUACUGCAAGUGUUGAAUAAUCGCUCUUUGUUACGUGUCUUUUUUCAACCUCGAAGCAUUUUUAAAAUCCAUGUGGCCACCAUGGGUAACGACGUUUUCUCGUGCAUUCCCUGAGUGAGUGCCACUUGCUUCGACAACUGUGACAUAUUCCAACAUUCAUUCCCCUCAUGCUAAGAUGGUCAACAACCACGCAAACGAAAUUAUCAACUCAUGUAAUAAACUAUAAUCUGUAACAUAAACAUUAGCACUGUAAUUAAAUUGCCAGGUCCAUGAUUACGAGUUACAGCCACCUCAUAACAUAACUCUGCUCUUUGUUCGAGUUUAGACAGAAGCAUGCGUUUGUUCAAGCAAUUUCUCUAUGUUUUCUUCUUUUCAUCCAAUCGUUAAUCAUAGACCAGUAAAUAUGAACAAAGUUCUAUAGAAUUAAUAGAAGAUAAGAAUAACAAAUUCGGAUAAAGAAUGAAAUCAAAGAAAAUAAAGAGGCAUAUCUACAACAAAAAAUUACCAAGCUAAAGAAAUAACAAGAGAAAUUGAAAAAUUAAAAACUAAACAGAGUAUGCAAAAUAAUUCGACAGACCACAGAAAAAUUGAAAAAUUGAUUUCUCUAAUCAUCUACAAUUUAGUUCAGUAAAGUCAUGGCUUUUAGGGUAUAAAUUCCCAACUAUGAUCAGAGAUUACACAUGAAGUACUUACCUCAGAUGUAUGAACGGAAAUGGGUGUCUUCUUCAGUUGGGCGUGGUGGUCGCUUCGCGGCGCUCAAAGAUUGGAGCAAGGUUCGAACUUCUCCGAUGUCAAAAUAUCUUCAUCUUCACGGGUCACACUUUUUCUUCUUCGUUGACUUCGUCGCUAAUCGAAGAUGGAGCUGAUUUCGAAUGCAUUGUCCCACCGUCGUUAGUGAGGGAAGGUGGAGAUGGGAAUGAAGAGGUUGGGAAGGGUUUUGUUUCAGUUAGUCUGAAAUUAGAAGAGAAUAAUCAGGGGCUGCCCUCGUUAUCUGACCUUCCAUUUUUUUUUCUUUCUUUUUUUUUAAAAAUCAUCUUGCACGUCAUUAUGUAAGACCUUUAUGAACAGCUGUUCUAUACGCCAAGUAGAAUUGGAGGAACCCCGUAUCUCGUCCCCAUCAUGCUACCCAUCCCAUCCCUUUUAUGUGGGAGCAAGGAUGGGGUUUGAGUCACGAUGGACGUUGAGGUGAUUGUAAUUUUGAGGAGGAGCAAGUGGUGCUAGUAGUACGGUGGCGAUAGUAGCAAUAGUGGUGAGAUGGCAUAGGCAUUUGAGUGCUAAUGAUAGUGUAGUGGAGUGGGACGAAGGACGUUUGUGAUCAAUUAUUUGGAUAAUUUUAAUCAAUAAAAUAGGUCAUCUGUGACCAAUAAGUAAUAUGUGAUAUUAACAAUGUAUAAUUUAUGACUAAAUUUGUAAUUGUGAUCCACCAAUUUUAUUUGUGUGAUUGUAAUCGUAAUCAUAAAUUGUGACCAUGACUUGAUCAAUUAAAUUAUAAAUCAAAAACUUUUAUCAAAUGUCAUAAAAUAUGAAAAAAAUUUAACAGGACCACCAAAAAUACAUCCUCAAAUUUUUAAAUGGACAUCAUUAGUCCCUUAUGGCUAUGGAUUCUAUUAGUCCCAAAAGCUGAUUUUCGACCAAAAUUCUAAGUGUUCUAUGUAUACGAUGAAAAAGUGCUGCGACAUCCCAUCAAGAAUGCUGCUUGUUGAAUAACCCCCUCGACGUCUAGGGGGUUGUGUAGGGGGGCGCCAUACUACCUCUUGGACGUUCAGGGGAUUGCUCAAGUGGCUUUUCCCUCUCAUCAAAGAUACUUUUCCCUUUAAUACAUCAAUGGUCAACACAUAUAUUCAUGUCAUAAUUAAUAAUUUUUUAUCACAACCAUAAUUAAGAAUUAAGUUCAGUGAAAAAUUAAAAAGAAAAGAAAUAAAGAAAGAAGUUGAAUUAGAAAAAAAUAAUAAAAUAGUCGUCUUCUCCAACCUACUUACUACAAAUAAAAAAAAAAUCUUUAUCAAACAAAUUCUUAACCAAAUGCUCAAGAAAGAGGAAUUAACGAAGUGCAUCAUUUAUGAAUUAAAUAAGGCAUGUAAUUAAGAUUUUAAUCGGAUAAACCUAAUCAUUAUGAAAUCUUUAGAUACUAGAAAUGCACAUAAAUUAUAUGGUGAUGUUACACGUUCAUAAUAGUGUACAAACAGGUUUAGACCCCUUUACAUGAAGGGGGCACAUACAAUAAAUUAUGCCGAUGCACCCUCUAUGUGACAGUGGUGUAAUCUCAUGUGUACACCUUAAGGUGUACAAAUCAGCAUUACCUUAAAUUAAUUACUUACUAACAUAUUGACUCAAAUUGUUAAAUAUAACAACUAGUUUUAUUGAGCCCCCGUUUGAUUCUAAUUUUUCAAGCCAAAAAAGUAAAUUUUUUUAUUAUUAGUUGAUAUAGUCAACCGUCAUUUUUGACAUCUUCAUUUACAGGUGGGUCAAUUUUUUCUUUUUAAAGAUAAAAAAAAAUUGAUUUUCAUAAUCAUUAUCAAACAAGCCCUAAAUAUAUCCAAAUUAAGAUAAAUUAUGUGAAUGGUACAUAAAGUUCAUCCCCAUUUCAAACUCAUACAUGAACUCACAAAUUUGUUCAUUGUAUGUUGUCGAUUUUAUCCCGCAAGUGGACGGAUCGUAACAAGUAGUAAAGUGAACCUUUUGAGUCCGAAUUAUCGUUCCCACAAUGACUAUUUUCUAGCACAUAAUUCAAUUUUUUCUUUAACUACUAUUUGAUAGAAACAGAUUAAAAGUUGUAUGAUUUAGAUUUUAAUCUAAAUUCUAGAAAAUAAAUGAAUGCUCACACAAUUUUUUUUUGUAAAAUCAAAUAAUUAAAGGACGUUAUGGCAAAAUAAUUUCACUCAUUGAUCACCUUUACAUCUCAAAUUAAGACUCAAUUCUAAUGUAGUGUUCGGUCGAAUUCUCCUAUUGCAUUUAAUUUACACCUCUCGAGUUCUCAUUGAGCAUAUUCAACUAAUUAAAUUUCAUAUCUCUAUACAAAUUUAACUUAGUUAAAAGAUUUCUUUGUCCUAAGAAUUCAAUUAUGACAGCAAUAAAUGACAUAGGUAUCUCUACUCAUUAUACUAAUAUAAUGAAUUUUACUACAUGGUCUAAAUCCUAAACUCAUAUCUCUAUUUGUAAAGGAUUCACAAAAUUCAUCAAAUUAUUGAUAAGAUAAUUUAAUGCAAUCAAUCCAUAGCAAAAAUCAACACAUGAAAGAAUUAAAAAUCAAGAAUCUUAAUAAGAAAAUAUGAAGGAUCUCAAAAAGGUUACAUUAUUCACCCUAAUAAUGGAUUUAGCUAUACAUGAUAAAAGAAGAGCACAAACAAAUUGUCUUAAAAUAAAUCGCCGGAUUUUUAAUAAGAGAAUGUAGAAGAAGAGGUGGAUCUUUCUCCUUCUUACAAUUUACGCUUCACACGAUGAAUUUGGCGUUCUCUUUUUCCUUUAAAUCUCUCCCCCUUUAUUUCAAUAUGUGUUAUUGUCUCUAGAAUAUGUGUAGAACCCCUUUAAAGUGUGAGAAAUCGUGUAUGUAUAGGUCCCUUGCCGUGUUAGAAGAAUAGGUUUUCAUAUGGACUCAAAAAAGGGGCCGAAAUUGAUCCAUAAUGCAUCUCGGAUGCGGCGCCUGGAAUGCGGCAUCACAGCGCCACAUCAAAAAAUAGGUGGUGGCACUGCAGCGCCAUAGGGUGGCUCUCUAAAUCUCUUGGCGCCGCGGCGCCACUUUUCAAACAAACAGCAUGCACCUCUUUUAGUAUUUUUAGCAUAACUUUCUCUCCUAAUAUCCAAUUGCGGUGAUUCAAGAUGCAUUAGAAAGCUCUCUCAAAGGGCUACAACUUUUCUUCAGACAUAAUUUUCCGAUUCGAUCGUUUUCUAUGUCAAAAAAGGGUCUUAAUGUGAGUCUGAAAUUUUAGAGCAUAGCUUUUCGGUUGGAAAUUGAUUUGUGAUCAUAUUUUGCCUAAAUUUGAUCCCUUUGACAUCUUUCUUCAUCCAAUUGACUCCCAAAGCUCUUGAAUCUUCAUCUUGAGGUUCCACACAACUUUUAAAUAUUUUCACUUUAAUCCCCAAACUUUCGAUUUCAUAAAAUUUAGCUCUUUUCUCCAAUUUUGCUUACUUUUGCUUCUUUCCUUCAAAUCAUUUUCCUUCAUAAAAUUUUACCUAUUAAACAUAAAAUACAAACAUUUAGGAUAUAAUUUGUCGAAAGAACCAUCAAAUAUCGUUAUUUAAGGAACCGAAUAAGUGUAUAAAAUACAAUUAUCAUUGUACAUACAUAAAUUAACUUGGUUAGUCAAUGCCCCCGUUUGGCCCUCAUUCUUGUCAAAUUUUAAUGGUUAGAAUAUUGUUUUUUUUUAAUAAUAUGUGAUUGAAAAAGAAAGAAUUUUUUUUAUUUACGUGUAAUAUUAUUUUAUGAAAAAUUGCGUGGUUGAAAAUAAGAGAGAAGAAGAAUGAAAAUGGGAAUGGGGCCAAACGGGGGCAAUAUUGACAGAAUAAUCCAUUUUAUAAAUUACUUGCCAACAUGACUGUGACUUGACAAAUAAGCAGUCGAUUAAUUACAAGAAUGGUGUAUGAACUUUAUCCCAUGUCUCAAAAUAUCAAAGCCAAAGGAUCUAGUUGUGCUUUCGACGAAAAGAAAUUCUCACAAUUUCAACUUCUUAUUUGUUAAAAUUAUAUCACACUAGGCAACACUUAGUAGCCAAAUUAUGAAGUCUAAAGCAUGAAAUACUAACUGCAUCCAGUAUUCUUUGGUGAAACUCUUGCAUUCUACUGAUUAUGAUGCUGCUAUAUGUAAAUCAAGUUGCAUGGCUUUUAGCAAAAUUCUUGGAGGUAGAUUUACAUUUUUCUAUAAUGUUUAUACAAUUUAAAAUGAUAGGUAAAGUUCAUGUACUAUUUACAUAAUCAACCCGCAAACAGACCUCCACGUGUGCCAUGUGAAUUGUUUACGUUAAUUUUGACUGCCGAAAGUUAAAUUAUGGAUGGACAGAAUUAAUUCGUGAUUUUAUUUAUGACUUGAAAAAAAAGUUAAGUUCAUAUAUGAUAUUGAAAAAUGGAUGUAAAGCUCAUGUAUCAUUUCCAUAAUUAACCCUCCAAAUUACUAAAAAAGGCAGAUUCACUAGUUUUUUUAACAUACAUCAUCAUUCAGAGUAGUCACAUUAAAAAAAUAAAUUAAUUAAUAAAUUAAUUAAGUUAUUUGUUUUGAUAACCGUCAAAGCUAAAAUAUGAUGAGGCUGUGGUUGUCUUAACUUAGGCUGGUUUCAAUACUUACCGGUACA